rnacentral:tRNA from 1 species
GGGACUUUAGCUCAGCUGGUAGAGUAGCUGCCUUACAAGCAGAUUGCCAUCGGUUCAAAUCCGGUAAGACCCA